ACUAGUAUUGAAGUCCACGGGGAUCAGGCUUUCCGAAAGGAGGGUGGGGGGAUGUUUGGUUCCCCCUGCUUGGGCAGACUGGAGAGCAUUGUGUAGCCACUUUGUUGGCUACGUUAUGUUUGGCCUCUGCUGAUCGAGCUUGUCACCUGAAUUCUACUACCCUUGCUUUUUGCGCACACCAUUGUUUCCUCGGUAGGCUUGCCUGCCAGUAGGACCAUUUAAAACCCUUUGUGAUUGCAAUCAGCGUCAGAAAAAUCGUAAUUAGUUA
rnacentral:misc_RNA from 1 species